GUGCAGCAGUCGCGAAAACUUUGCAAUAAGCGAAAGCUUGACAGGGCUAUCCCGAGUGCCAUCCGCUGAGGAAGGCUUUUACCCAGUCUAGAAAGCUGGGGGAAUAAGGAGAGGGCAAGUCUGGUGUCAGCCGCCGCGGUAAUACCAGCUCUCCGAGUGGUGUGGAUGUUUAUUGGGCCUAAAGCAUCCGUAGCUGGCUGAGUUAGUCCCCUGUUAAAUCCACCGAAUUAAUCGUUGGAUUGCGGGGGAUACUGCUUGGCUAGGGGACGAGAGAGGCAGACGGUAUUUCCGGGGUAGGGGUGAAAUCCUAUAAUCCCGGGAAGACCACCAGUGGCGAAGGCUGUCUGCUAGAACGCGCCCGACGGUGAGGGAUGAAAGCUGAGGGAGCGAACCGGAUUAGAUACCCCUGUAGUCC
rnacentral:rRNA from 1 species